UUAUCUGGGUUGAGGACAGUGCCUGGUGGGUAGUUUGACUGGGGCGGUCUCCUCCCAAAGAGUAACGGAGGAGCACGAAGGUGGGCUAAUCACGGUUGGACAUCGUGAGGUUAGUGCAAUGGCAUAAGCCCGCUUAACUGCGAGAAUGACGGUUCGAGCAGGUGCGAAAGCAGGUCAUAGUGAUCCGGUGGUUCUGUAUGGAAGGGCCAUCGCUCAACGGAUAAAAGGUACUCCGGGGAUAACAGGCUGAUACCGCCCAAGAGUUCAUAUCGACGGCGGUGUUUGGCACCUCGAUGUCGGCUCAUCACAUCCUGGGGCUGAAGUCGGUCCCAAGGGUAUGGCUGUUCGCCAUUUAAAGUGGUACGCGAGCUGGGUUUAGAACGUCGUGAGACAGUUCGGUCCCUAUCUGCCGUGGGCGUUGGAAGAUUGAAGGGGGCUGCUCCUAGUACGAGAGGACCGGAGUGGACGAACCUCUGGUGUUCGGGUUGUGUCGCCAGACGCAUUGCCCGGUAGCUAAGUUCGGAAUUGAUAAGCGCUGAA
rnacentral:rRNA from 1 species